rnacentral:rRNA from 1 species
CCUACGGGAGGCAGCAGUGGGGAAUAUUGGGCAAUGGAGGCAACUCUUACCCAGCAAUGCCGCGUGAAUGAAGAAGGUCUUCGGAUUGUAAAGUUCUUUAAUUGGGGACGAAAAAAAUGACGGUACCCAAGGAAUCAGCCCCGGCUAACUACGUGCCAGCAGCCGCCGGACUACGUAGGGGGAAAGCGUUGUUCGGAAUGACUGGGCGUAAAGGGUGUGUAGGCGGUGUAGCAAGUUAGAAGGGAAAUACCUAGGGCUUAACUCAGGUGCUGCUUCUAAAACUGCUAUACUUGAGUGCAGUAGAGGAAAGUGGAAUUCCUAGUGUAGCGGUGGAAUGCGUAGAGAUUAGGAGGAACAUCAGUGGCGAAGGCGACUUUCUGGACAAUAACUGACGCUGAGGCACGAAAGUGUGGGGAGCAAACAGGAUUAGAUACCCGGGUAGUC